rnacentral:rRNA from 1 species
AUAUCAGUAAGCGGAGGAAAAGAAACUAACCAGGAUUCCCCCAGUAACGGCGAGUGAACAGGGAACAGUCCAGCGCUGAAUCUCGGUGUUUAUGCAUCGCGACAUGUAGCGUAUAGGCGGUGCUCUUGGUCCUUGCCGAAGGCACAAGUUUCCCAUGACCGGGGCGCCAGAGAAGGUGAUAGACCUGUAGCGCUUGAGGUUGGGUCUGACUGCGCCGUCUUGGAGUCGGGUUGUUUGGGAUCGCAGCCCAAAGUAGGUGGUAAACUUCAUCUAAGACUAAAUAUCCCUACGAGACCGAUAGCGCACAAGUA